AGACGUAGGGGGCAAGCGUUGUCCGGAAUUACUGGGCGUAAAGGGCGCGUAGGUGGCCUUACAAGUCUGGAGUGAAAGUCCCGUUUUUAAGGUGGGAAUGGCUUUGGAAACUGUAAGGCUUGAGUGUGGGAGAGGAUAGCGGAAUUCCCGGUGUAGCGGUGAAAUGCGUAGAGAUCGGGAGGAACACCAGUGGCGAAGGCGGCUAUCUGGACCAAGACUGACACUGAAGCGCGAAAGCGUGGGUAGC
rnacentral:rRNA from 1 species